CUGGCUGACAGAAGCGGAGCCUGAAGUUCCUUAAGCAGGUUGCUGUCUAGCUAAUGCCAAGCAGCCUGGAGAAAGGGGUUCCUUCCUGAGUGCCACCUCCAGCACAUGCAAAACUGAAAGAGCAGGGAAUGGAGCCCAAGGGAGCUGGUCUUCUUU